AGCUCCAAUAGCGUAUAUUAAAGUUGUUGCAGUUAAAAAGCUCGUAGUUGGAUUUGUGGUGUACUUCGGAGGCCCGUCACAAUGUGAUGGAGUUGACUGAAGUCGCCAUCCUUGGGUGGAUCCUGUGUGGCAUUAAGUUGUCGUGCAGGGGAUGCCCAUCGUUUACUGUGAAAAAAUUAGAGUGUUCAAAGCAGGCUUAUGCCGUUGAAUAUAUUAGCAUGGAAUAAUAAGAUAGGACCUUGGUACUAUUUUGUUGGUUUGCGCACCAAGGUAAUGAUUAAUAGGGACAGUUGGGGGUAUUCGUAUUUCAUUGUCAGAGGUGAAAUUCUUGGAUUUUUGAAAGACGAACUACUGCGAAAGCAUUUACCAAGGAUGUUUUCAUUAAUCAAGAACGAAAGUA
rnacentral:rRNA from 1 species